rnacentral:rRNA from 1 species
UUUAAAGAGAGUUUGAUCCUGGCUCAGGACGAACGCUGGCGGCGUGCCUAAUACAUGCAAGUCGAACGAACGGAGGAAGAGCUUGCUCUUCCAAAGUUAGUGGCGGACGGGUGAGUAACACGUGGGCAACCUGCCUGUAAGUUGGGGAUAACUCCGGGAAACCGGGGCUAAUACCGAAUGAUAGAGUGUGGCGCAUGCCACGCUCUUGAAAGAUGGUUUCGGCUAUCGCUUACAGAUGGGCCCGCGGUGCAUUAGCUAGUUGGUAGGGUAAUGGCCUACCAA